UCUUUUAUUUUACAGUUUUGA
rnacentral:piRNA from 1 species